AGAGUUUGAUCCUGGCUCAGAUUGAACGCUGGCGGCAUGCCUAACACAUGCAAGUCGAACGGCAGCAUGAGGUGUAGCAAUACACCUUGAUGGCGAGUGGCGGACGGGUGAGGAAUGCAUCGGAAUCUGCCCAGUCGUGGUGGACAACGCAGGGAAACUUGCGCUAAUACCGCAUACGACCUUCGGGUGAAAGCAGGGGAUCUUCGGACCUUGCGCGAUUGGAUGAGCCGAUGCCGGAUUAGCUAGUUGGCGGGGUAAAAGCCCACCAAGGCGACGAUCCGUAGCUGGUCUGAGAGGAUGAUCAGCCACACUGGGACUGAGACACGGCCCAGACUCCUACGGGAGGCAGCAGUGGGGAAUAUUGGACAAUGGGGGCAACCCUGAUCCAGCAAUGCCGCGUGUGUGAAGAAGGCCUUCGGGUUGUAAAGCACUUUUAUCGGGAACGAAACAUUGUCGGCUAAUACCCGGCAAGACUGACGGUACCCGAGGAAUAAGCACCGGCUAACUCCGUGCCAGCAGCCGCGGUAAUAC
rnacentral:rRNA from 1 species